UAACUGAAGAGUUUGAUCAUGGCUCAGAUUGAACGCUGGCGGCAGGCUUAACACAUGCAAGUCGAGCGGAAACGAUGUAGCUUGCUACAGGCGUCGAGCGGCGGACGGGUGAGUAACGCGUAGGAAUCUGCCUAGUAGAGGGGGACAACAUGUGGAAACGCAUGCUAAUACCGCAUACGCCCUGAGGGGGAAAGGAGGGGAUCACUUGUGACCUUCCGCUAUUAGAUGAGCCUGCGUGAGAUUAGCUAGUUGGUAGGGUAAAGGCCUACCAAGGCGACGAUCUCUAACUGGUCUGAGAGGAUGACCAGUCACACUGGGACUGAGACACGGCCCAGACUCCUACGGGAGGCAGCAGUGGGGAAUAUUGGACAAUGGGCGCAAGCCUGAUCCAGCCAUGCCGCGUGUGUGAAGAAGGCCUUAGGGUUGUAAAGC
rnacentral:ncRNA from 1 species